rnacentral:rRNA from 1 species
AUUGAACGCUGGCGGCAGGCCUAACACAUGCAAGUCGAACGGUAACAGGAAGAAGCUUGCUUCUUUGCUGACGAGUGGCGGACGGGUGAGUAAUGUCUGGGAAACUGCCUGAUGGAGGGGGAUAACUACUGGAAACGGUAGCUACUACCGCAUAACGUCGCAAGCCCAAAGAGGGGGACCUUCGGGCCUCUGGCCAGCGGAUAUGCCCAGAUGGGAUUAGCUAGUAGGUGGGGUAACGGCUCACCUAGUCGACGAGCCCUAGCUGGUCUGAGAGGAUGACAGGCCACACUGGAACUGAGACACGGUCCAGGCUCCUACGGGAGGCAGCAGUGGGGAAUAUUGCACAAUGGGCGCAAGCCUGGUGCAGCCAUGCCGCGUGUAUGAAGAAGGCCUUCGGGUUGUAAAGUACUUUCAGCGGGGAGGAAGGGAGUAAAGUUAAUACCUUUACUGAUUGACGUUACCCGCAGAAGAAGCACCGGCUAACUCCGUG